UACGUAUGGAGCAAGCGUUAUCCGGAUUUACUGGGUGUAAAGGGAGCGUAGGCGGUUUCAUAAGUCUGAUGUGAAAACCCACGGCUCAACCGUGGGAUUGCAUUGGAAACUGUGGAACUAGAGUGUCGGAGGGGCAAGUGGAAUUCCUAGUGUAGCGGUGAAAUGCAUAGAUAUUAGGAGGAACACCAGUGGCGAAGGCGGCUUGCUGGACGAUUACUGACGCUGAGACUCGAAAGCGUGGGGGGCAAAC
rnacentral:rRNA from 1 species